UGCGUAGGUGGCAGUGCAAGUCAGAUGUGAAAGGCCGGGGCUCAACCCCGGAGCUGCAUUUGAAACUGCGCGGCUAGAGUACAGGAGAGGCAGGCGGAAUCCCUAGUGUAGCGGUGAAAUGCGUAGAUAUUAGGAGGAACACCAGUGGCGAAGGCGGCCUGCUGGACUGUUACUGACGCUGAGGAGCGAAAGCGUGGGGAGCGAACA
rnacentral:rRNA from 1 species